AACGGCCAAACCUUGAUGAAUAUACCGGUUCUCGUUAGAUCACCGAAGUUAAGCAUCAUUGGGCGCGGUCAGUACUUGGGUGGGUGACCACCUGGGAACACUGCGUGCCGU
rnacentral:rRNA from 1 species